CAGUUCUAGUUUUACAUCCAGUUUAGCCUGGUAUCACCAGAAACCUGGACAAACACCCAAACUCCUGUUCUCUGGUGUUGGUAGCAAAGUGUCUGGAGUUUCUGAGAGAUUCACUGAUGGGAGAUCAGGAACGAACUUCAUGCUCAAUAUUAGAAAUGUCCAGCCUGAAGAUGCAGGAGAUUAUUACUGUCAGCAGUAUUAUGAGAAUCCAUUAACACAGUGAUACAGAGCCGUACAAAAACCCCCUUCAGAAAAGAGGAACUGCUGAUUUAGACACACACUGCACACAUAUUAUGCUAUUGAUAUGAGCCAGUUUUUAAAUUCUGAACUCAAAAAAAUCUGGGCCCUGAUUCACAAAACAUUCUUAAGAAUAAAAUUAAUCUUAACUGCUAUUUUCUUAUUAUUUUCAACUUAAGAAAAAAAGUUUAGAAUAUUUAGUUUUCCCAAAAAUACUUCUUAAGAAUGUUCUCAUCUUUUUUCUUAAGACUGUUCUUGAGACAUCUGCAUCUUUUGACAGGCUGUUAUAUUAAAAAUAAACAUUAGUAAAAAUAGUGUGUGACAUAAUUAUAAAUACAGCAAUCUGCAGGCAGUGCAAAAUGAUGGUCUGACGUGUUUUUCAGCAAAAUCAGGACAGUCCACCCGUGAGCCAGCCGAGGAGUGCUGACUCAUCAACAUCAACAUGGAACAGCUCCCACCCAACUCCCCACCCCCAAACUCUUCCCUUCUCAGCCCGGUCCAGACAAUGUCAUUGAUAACACUGUCCCACCCAAUGUCCUGCCCACCCCAUUGUCUCCACACUCAACGCUGGGUCCGCCCAGUCCCCUGGACUCGGCUCCACCUGCACCACUGACUCUCUCCAGCUCCUCGGCUUCGCCUUGAUCCCUUCGGGACCCUUUCCCACCAGCACAGCUCUGUGAUUCAGAUUAUCUGGCUAUACCUCCAGCCUCCAGGUCCAUUUCUCCAUCUCAGCCAGUCAGCUCUUUGGCUCUGUGCUCACUCAUGUCCACCGUAGUCUGCCAUUACUCAGGCUCCCUUUUUCCUCCGUUUAUGCCUUGGUCUCUCAUCAUCCUGGUUUUUGCCAUGGACUUCCAGGCCUCCGGCUGCACAUCAACCCUCCACUCCUUCGGCUCCACCAGGUUCCUUCUUCCCUCCAGCUCUGUCUUGUUCCUCGCUCCCUCCGGUGUCGCCCUGUUCUGCCAGGCCUCCGUCUCUGCCUCGGUCACUCAAGCCUGUGGCGUCACCUUGGACCGUCUGGCCUUCGAUGUUGCCCUAGGCCGUCAUCCUGCUGAUUUAACUGGGGGCUCCGCUUCAUCUGGUUUUGGCUCAGUCGGUCAGCCUUCAGGCUUCAUCAAGGAAACCUGUCAGGGCUCAAUCUCAGCUCCUCUCACUUUCUUCUCCACAUUAGUGUUCCCCUCAGCAAGUUCCUCUAGUUCCUUGUCCUUCAUCAGCUCCACGUACACCUCUAAGACUCCCUCCCUCCACUCUGGGACAGUUGUGCACGGCACAAGGAUGCGCCUAGUGGGAGGAGGAGUAAUGUCAGGUUCACUUUAAAUAUUUUCAAAGUAGAUGAGGGGAUCCAGAGAAGGUGACUGGAGAUGGAGGACUUGGAGAAAGGAGAUCAGAGAAUGGAGAACUGGAGACGAAGAAUAACACAGUUCUAACAGAAAAUCACAGCAUGCUCUUGUGUGAAUGAGAUCAGAGAAGCAGAAGUGAGACGUCAUCAGUCAGAAGGAUGAAGCAGAAGGCAGAGGAGAGACUGAGCGGAUCUACUCUGAACACUGAUCUCUCCUCAGUUCUGCAGUGACUGCAGGCUGGCCGCUCCGUGUGG